AGAGCUUAUCAGUUCAGCUUCUCAAAAUGAAGUUCCCUGCUCAGCUCCUGGGGCUCUUCAUGCUCUGGAUCCCAGGAUCCAGUGGGGAUAUUGUGAUGACGCAGAGCCCCCUGUCCCUGCCUGUCACUCUUGGACAGCCGGCCUCCAUCUCCUGCAGGGCCAGUCAGAGCCUGCUGUACAGUGGAACAAACUAUUUAAGUUGGUACCAGCAGAAGCCAGGCCAGUCUCCACGACUCCUGAUUUACUGGGCUUCCACCCGGGCCUCUGGGGUCCCUGACAGGUUCAGUGGCAGCGGGUCAGGGACAGAUUUCACCCUGACAAUCAGCAGGGUGGAGGCUGAGGAUGUUGGAGUUUAUUACUGCCAGCAAGCUCUACAAUCUCCUCCCACAGUGAUUAAACUUAGAACAAAAACCUGCCUGUCUGGGGAUUUCAACUGCCCAAAAGUGUUGCUCAUCUGGGGAGCCCCCAGCAGGUCGUCCAAGGGUGUAUAAGCGGAAAACGUUGGACUAGGUGCAGCUGAGGGCCCCACACCAUGAGGACGAGGACUUUACCCUCCCCUACCAAGGAACAUGUGUUGAGGUCCAAUCAGGUGCCACAGCCUUAGAAUGGCAGAACCGGUCUUGUGAUGUCUCUGUGGCUUUAAGCAUUGGUUUAUGCUGGGGUAUUGUUAGGAAUAGAAAUCGGCCUCCCAGGCUGGCGAAUGUUUGGCCUCGGGAAGCACUGCCCCACGGUUUCCCAAGACGGUGAACAUAUUUACACUUCAUCACCUAUGACACAUUCCAGUUGGUCUAAAUCUUUUAUAAUCCUUCUUACAUCAGACUUUUUAUUAUCUCCAUAUUGAUAGAUCCUGAAACGGUAUUGUCGUAAAAAUGUACAUUUCCUUGAUGAAGAAGAUGUUGAGAAAUUUUUCAUUUUUAAUUUUUACUAGUCA